CAUUAGAAAACUGAAAGCCAGUAUUGGUCUCUUAAACCAUCAUAUAGUAGCGUUGCAUCUACUUCUAAUGA
rnacentral:tRNA from 1 species